GACAGAGGGUGCAAACGUUGUUCGGAUUUACUGGGCGUAAAGCGCGUGUAGGCGGCUUUGCAAGUCGGAUGUGAAAGCCCACGGCUCAACCGUGGAAGUGCAUCCGAAACUGCAUGGCUUGAGUCUCGGGAGAGGAAGGUGGAAUGCUUGGUGUAGAGGUGAAAUUCGUAGAUAUCAAGCAGAACACCUGCGGCGAAGGCGGCCUUCUGGACGAUGACUGACGCUGAGACGCGAAAGCGUGGGGAGCAAACAGG
rnacentral:rRNA from 1 species